rnacentral:lncRNA from 10 species
AAGACUUAGACCCAGAGAGGCAGUAACUGCCAAGAAAAUUCAAGAGUCGUAUAAUUAGAACAAUGGUCCAUAUAAGAAGAUAACCUGGUUUCUCAUGACAAUACAUGCACCCCCUACAGGGGACUCUCUAAGUUCUAGAGGCUGAGAAGAAUUUGAUUCCAUAUUUAGGGCAUCAUAAAUUCAAAGGGGUGAGAAAAAAUAUAAUAUUAGGACAAAACAUGUGCACGGAAGUACACAAGCCAUUUGCUCCGUAGAGAAACAAUAUAGUGAAAUGUCAGUGGACUUGGAAAUCAAAAACAAUAUCACAUAAGAGGAAAGCAACAGAUUCCACUUUCAAAUUCAGCUUUCCAACUUGGAAUUUGAAUUUGAAAGUGGAAUCUGUUGCUUUUCUCUUAUGUAAUCUUGUUUGAGAAACGCAGGUAAUCAGUUUCAAUCUUUUCAAUAAUGUGAAAGUCCUGAUAAUAUCUACUUCAUGGGAGUAAAUGAGAUAAUAUCUAUUAAAUUGCCAUAAAAUACUACAGUUUUACAAGUGUAAGCUAUUGUUAGCACUACCAAACAUAAUAAUUGUUGCUUUUUUGUUGACAGUUUUUUUUAUAAAUCAGGUAUUACAUUAAUGUCUUUACAUACAAGAUAUCAUUUAACCAUAAUUUACAAAUAAAAUCAUUCAAAAGUAUCUGAAAUAAAUGGUCAAGUCACAAAAACAAAUAUGUCUAUCAAAAAUAAUUAUUUCUAAGAAAUGGUUUGCCAAUGUUAUUUAGUAGAGGCUUCCCAAAUUCAGCAGAUGUGAAUUUACCCAUAAAACAGUAAUUGAUCCACAGGAAAUCAUGACUCAAAAUGUGGUAUAUGAAAAGAAAGCAAUCCUUCAUUUACAUAGAAUUGUCAUAUUUCGGGUAACUUAGUGACAUGGACAUUAAGUUUCAUGGAGAUUGGGAAAAAGGUGGGUCGAAAAUGGUGAGUUAGAAAUGAAGAAUAGAGGCCAGGCACGGUGGCUUACACCUGUAAUCCCAGCACUUUGGGAGGCCAAGGUUGGCGGAUCACCUGAGGUCAGGAAUUCGAGACCACCCUGGCCAACAUGGCAAAAAUACGUCUCUACUAAAAAUACAAAAAUUAGCCGGAUGUGGUGGUGUGCUCCUGUUAUCUCAGCUAUUUGGGAGGCUGAGGGAGGAGAAUGGCUUGAACCCAGGAGGCAGAGGUUGCAGUGAACUGAGAUCGUGCCACUGCACUCCAGCCUAGGUGACAGAGAGAGACUCCAUCUCAAAACAAAACAAAAAACAAAUAUAUUAACAGUCUAUUCUAUCAGACCCCUUAAUUUGACUCAACCAAAUCCUCAAGGACAUUUUGCCCUGGAUUAUUGAAAAUAUGGGCAAUUCAAUAAUAAUUUAGAUGUGGGCCUAUAACAUGAUAUGAAAAGAGCAAUUUUAAAAGUUGGUUUUGAGGUCAUACACAGAUGGGUUUGUGGGCAAAGGGUGAGGACAACUUCAUAGAUCAGACGUCAUCUGAGCUGGGUUAUGGAGCUAAAUAGGAAGCAUUCUUGUGAAUAAGUCAAGAAACAACAUUACAGAAGAAUGUUCACAUUGCGGAGGUUUGAAACCACUGGGGAAGAGCUGGGUCUUUUUGCAGCUUAACUACCUCCUAUCCCUCUGUGUCCCUCCACUUCUUCCUCUGUGCCCUCAGGGGAUUGUCUUUACAUAGGCAUUGCACAGCCCUUGCCUUUCCUAAGAUUUAGAAUCAGUCAAUGGGAGGCACUAGGCAUCCAAAGCACACUGGAAAAGAGAAAAUUAAGGCCAGGGAUGCAGUCCUUCGACUUUUUUCCUGUCACAUUACUUCAGGUUGGCUUUGUCACGUGACCAAAACAGCUCUCACUGAGCAGCCUUAAAUCUCUUUAUCCUGGUAAUGGUUCCUUCCUCUUUUCCCUUAGGCUCAGGAGGGUAAUUAAUAGCUCCUCCUUGAUGUUAGCCCCAGGGGACUGCAACUUCACUUUCUGGUUUCCUUUCACCCUGUCCAUAUUUGAACAGAAUAGUCUUUUUGUAAAACUUUCCUUUGUUACUCUCAGUUAAGUAUACCAUUUAUAUUCUGAUGAGACCCCCCAUUGAAAUAUUUACGUAACAUCACAACUAAAGAAAAAUCAAAAAUUCAUUCUGUGUAAUGUCUGGCCAGUCCCCCAAACCCAGGUUUAACUGAUUUGAUUUUUUUUCUAUUCUUUCUUCCCUCCUUUCCCAUUGAGAUGAAUGGACAUUUGAUAUUACCAAGAAUAUGCAUAAUGACUUGGAAGUUACCAUUUGAACAAUUGACAUUCUUGAGCAUCUUAGGUUGGAUUUCCUAGGAACAGAACCUGUGACAGGAAUUCAGGUGGAGCUGUUUUAGGCUGGGUGCUGUGGCCCAGGCCUGGAAUCCCAGCACUUCAGAAGGCCAAGGCAGGAGAAUCGCUUGAGCCCAGGAGUUCAAGAGCAGCCUGGGCAACAUGUUGAAACAUCAUCUCUAUACAAAUAUACGCACAAAAAUUAGCUGGACAUGGUGGUGUGCACCUGUAGUCCUAACUACUCAGGAAGCUGUGGUGGAAGAAUCACUUGAGCCCAGGAGGUCGAGCCUGCAAUAAGCUGUGAUUGCACCACUGCACUCCAGCGUGGAUGACAGAGCAAGACACCCUGUCUCAAAAAAAAGACUAUACAACAGAGCUCUGAAAAAGAUCACACUUUCAGGCUCAAGGAGCUCUCUUGUUCCUUCCACCAUCUGAGAACACAGUGAGAAGUCCCCAGGCUUCAACCUGAAAAAGGGCCCUCAUCAGAACCUGAUCAUCAGAACUUGGCACCCCAAUCUUUGUCUUCUGAUCUACAUUGUGACCUAAGUCAGAACGGGGCCAUAGCAGGCAUAAAAGCAACAAUUUAUCAAACUGCCUGAGGGAAUGAUGUAAAAAAUGCUCAUCAAGAAUAUCCAUCUGGACAGGACAAAAAAUGACGCUGAGAGGACUUUGGAGAGUUUCUACCCAGUUUUCCUAAAUUCCAGGAAGUUUUCUUAGUAGAAAUGAUGAUGACUGAAAGCUACUUCAUUUCUGGGAUACUUGAGACUUCUGGUCUGCAUAUGUGACUGUAGGAAGAAAUAAAUAAUUUAUGUUUUGGAAAAACCCUAAUUACCUAAAGAUGACUCUCAUGGAGUAAAAGGGAAAUGGGCAUUUGUCUUGUUUUCCCAAACUCUUUCAGUACUCAGUGAAUAAAAAUUAAGGUAACAACAUGAAUUCAGAAGGGCUUCUUAUUUGAGCUCUCUUACCUGUGCAGACUUAUAUUAUUGUGUGUGUGACAGGCAUUUUCCUUAUUUUAUUUUAUACAAUGUGUGUGAAUAAAUUUUUAUACAACUUCUUUUAUUAAAGGCAGAGAAUGCUUCAGCUUACCUUUGUAUUAUCUACAUUUUGGAAACAGAAUGAAUAUUCAAAUGUUGAAUUAGCUCGAAU